CCAGACUCCUACGGGAGGCAGCAGUGGGGAAUAUUGCACAAUGGGGGAAACCCUGAUGCAGCAACGCCGCGUGAGUGAAGAAGUAUUUCGGUAUGUAAAGCUCUAUCAGCAGGGAAGAAGAUGACGGUACCUGAUUAAGAAGCCCCGGCUAACUACGUGCCAGCAGCCGCGGUAAUACGUAGGGGGCAAGCGUUAUCCGGAUUUACUGGGUGUAAAGGGAGCGCAGACGGCAGUGCAAGUCUGAAGUGAAAGGUGGGGGCCCAACCCCCGGACUGCUUUGGAAACUGUAUAGCUGGAGUGCAGGAGAGGUAAGUGGAAUUCCUAGUGUAGCGGUGAAAUGCGUAGAUAUUAGGAGGAACACCAGUGGCGAAGGCGGCUUACUGGACUGUAACUGACGUUGAGGCUCGAAAGCGUGGGGAGCAAACAGGAUUAGAUACCCCGGUAAG
rnacentral:rRNA from 1 species